rnacentral:rRNA from 1 species
AGAAUCAACGCUGGCGGCGUGCCUAACACAUGCAAGUCGCACGAGAAAGGGUAGCAAUACCUGAGUACAGUGGCGCACGGGUGAGUAACACGUGAAUAAUCUACCUCCGAGUGGGGAAUAACUGAGAGAAAUCUUAGCUAAUACCGCAUAAUACCCACGGGUCAAAGCAGCAAUGCGCUUGGAGAGGAGUUCGCGGCAGAUUAGUUAGUUGGCGGGGUAAUGGCCCACCAAGACGAUGAUCUGUAUCCGGCCUGAGAGGGCGCACGGACACACUGGAACUGAAACACGGUCCAGACUCCUACGGGAGGCAGCAGUGGGGAAUUUUUGCGCAAUGGGGGAAACCCUGACGCAGCAACGCCGCGUGGAGGAUGAAGCCCCUUGGGGUGUAAACUCCUUUCGAUCGGGAAGAUAAUGACGGUACCGAUAUAAGAAGCCCCGGCUAACUUCGCGCCAGCAGCCGC